rnacentral:rRNA from 1 species
UACGUAGGGGGCAAGCGUUGUCCGGAAUCAUUGGGCGUAAAGCGCGUGUAGGCGGUCCGGUAAGUCCGCUGUGAAAGUCGGGGGCUCAACCCUCGGAUGCCGGUGGAUACUGUCGGGCUUGAGUACGGAAGAGGCGAGUGGAAUUCCUGGUGUAGCGGUGAAAUGCGUAGAUAUCGAGAGGAACACCUGCGGCGAAGGCGGGUUGCUGGGCUGACACUGACGCUGAAGCGCGAAAGCUAGGGGAGCGAACGGG